rnacentral:rRNA from 1 species
AACGAACGCUGGCGGCAUGCCUAACACAUGCAAGUCGAACGAGACCUUCGGGUCUAGUGGCGCACGGGUGCGUAACGCGUGGGAACCUGCCCUUAGGUUCGGAAUACCUCCCCGAAAGGGGUGCUAAUACCGGAUAAUGUCUUCGGACCAAAGAUUUAUCGCCUUUGGAUGGGCCCGCGUUGGAUUAGCUAGUUGGUAGGGUAAAAGCCUACCAAGGCGAGGAUCCAUAGCUGGUCUGAGAGGAUGAUCAGCGACACUGGGACUGAGACACGGCCCAGACUCCUACGGGAGGCAGCAGUGGGGAAUAUUGGACAAUGGGCGAAAGCCUGAGCCAGCAAUGCCGCGUGAGUGAUGAAGGCCUUAGGGAUGUAAAGCUCUUUUACCCGGGAUGAUAAUGACAGUACCGGGAGAAUAAGCUACGGCUAACUCCGUG